GGUUGUGGCUCAGUGGUAAAGCACUCGCCUAGCAUAGGUGAGGCAUUGGGUUCAAUUCUCAGCACCA
rnacentral:tRNA from 1 species